rnacentral:rRNA from 1 species
AACGAACGCUGGCGGCAUGCCUAACACAUGCAAGUCGAACGAAACCUUCGGGCCUAGUGGCGCAGGUGUGCGUAACACGUGGGAACCAGCCCUUAGGUUCGCAAUCACUCAGAGAAGUUUGAGCUAAUACCGCAUGAUCUAUUCGGACCAAGGAUUUAUCGCCUUUAGAUGGGCCCUCGUUAGAUUCGCUGGUUGGGGGGGUACACGCCUACCAAGGCGACGUUCCAUAGCUGGUCUGAGAGGAUGAUCAUCCACACUGGGACUGAGACACGGCCCAGACUCCUACGGAACGCAGCAGUAGAGAAUAUUAUACAAUGGGCGAAAGCCUGAUCCCGCAGUGCGGCGUGAGUGAUGAAUCCCUUAGUGUUGUAAAUCUCUUUUACCCGAGAUGUUAAUGACAGUAACGGGUGAAUAAGCACCGGCUAACUCCGUG